GCUUAGAAUAAAACGGACAGAACCGUCUGACGCCCUCGGGAAUCAGUCGAACGUCGCGCGAACGCGAUCAGGUUCAAAGGAGCGUAAAAGUCCUACUCUGAUCGUCUAGUAGUCGCGUAUGUGAGGCGCAUUUCUCGAGGGUUAGCGUCGUGACCGAUGCGAAAGGCCAGUGAGACUGUCGGGGUUGAGGUGGAAUUCCCUUCGGGGUUUUCCUUACCAACUUGGCGGUGAUAAUCGCUGGACCGUAGUAGGCAUCGAGCGUCUAUAAAAAUAACGUUGGCGAGUAAAAUGCGCUCGCUUAGUAAAUGACGGAGAGUCGGCCUAUUAGUCGACGCCUGCUCGCAGGCGUUCGUUUAAUAGCUUGGUCGAUUACAAAGUCAUCGGCGACGUACCAACGUUUAGGCGUCCACGAUGUCCGAGUCGGUUACCUGUCCGACCCGUCUUGAAACACGGACCAAGGAGUCUAACGUACGCGCGAGUUAAUGGGUGAAAAACCUAUAAGCGCAAUAAAAGUAAAAACUGUCUUUAGACAGUCGAGGUACGAUAUUAAGGUACCGCAUUCCGCCCUAGUCGCAGUACCGUCCCGUCCCGACCGCUUGUCGGUAGGGCGGAGACAGAGCG
rnacentral:rRNA from 1 species